UGCGUAGGCGGUUAGGAAAGUCAGAUGUGAAACCCCGUGGCUCAACCAUGGGCAUGCAUUUGAAACUUCCAAACUAGAGUACAGGAGAGGUAAGUGGAAUUUCUAGUGUAGCGGUAAAAUGCGUAGAUAUUAGGAAGAACACCAGUGGCGAAGGCGACUUACUGGACUGAAACUGACGCUGAGGCACGAAAGCGUGGGGAGCGAACAGGAUUAGAUACCCUGGUAGUCCAUGCUGUAAACGAUGAAUGCUAGGUGUUGGGGGCUAAAGCUCUCAGUGCCGCAGCUAACGCAAUAAGCAUUCCACCUGGGGAGUACGAUCGCAAGAUUGAA
rnacentral:rRNA from 1 species